rnacentral:rRNA from 1 species
AACGCUGGCGGCAGGCCUAACACAUGCAAGUCGAGCGGUAGAGAGAAGCUUGCUUCUCUUGAGAGCGGCGGACGGGUGAGUAAUGCCUAGGAAUCUGCCUGGUAGUGGGGGAUAACGUUCGGAAACGGACGCUAAUACCGCAUACGUCCUACGGGAGAAAGCAGGGGACCUUCGGGCCUUGCGCUAUCAGAUGAGCCUAGGUCGGAUUAGCUAGUUGGUGGGGUAAUGGCUCACCAAGGCGACGAUCCGUAACUGGUCUGAGAGGAUGAUCAGUCACACUGGAACUGAGACACGGUCCAGACUCCUACGGGAGGCAGCAGUGGGGAAUAUUGGACAAUGGGCGAAAGCCUGAUCCAGCCAUGCCGCGUGUGUGAAGAAGGUCUUCGGAUUGUAAAGCACUUUAAGUUGGGAGGAAGGGCAGUAAAUUAAUACUUUGCUGUUUUGACGUUACCGACAGAAUAAGCACCGGC